rnacentral:lncRNA from 1 species
ACUCUGUCCGCAGCAGGGGUAUGGGAGGCAGCUCGGGACACUCCAGGGACCAAGCGGGCAGUGGGCGCCGUCCCCGAGGAACACCCAGCCCAGCGCCCCUGGUUCUGGGCUGGUUGGCUUAUCGAGGCCGGUUGGCCAAAGCAUCAGGAAAGGGAACAUUCUCGGCCGGGUGUUGGAUACCAAAUUAUAAACGCCAGAGCACCUUGUGUAAAGAUGAAUAUCGUUUUGUUACUGCGGGAGGGAAUACACCUACUGCUUUGAAAGGAGUUUAAAAUAUUCAGCAGACAGCACCGCAUUGAAAUUAGUGCAUUGAGCUGCAGACCAAACUAAUUUCUAGAACAGUCUAAAAAGUAAAAACAAAGUUUGGCAAAAAUGACAACUUUGCUUGAGAACAGCUCUGGAAAAGCGAAUCCACUGAGAGCCGUGGGAAUUCUCCGCCAGCUGUGCUUCCCCAACCGAGGAAGAAUCCAACCCGGAAUAUCGUUUCUGGACCCCACCGCGGAGACCCCAGCUGGACCCUCUCCUGAAAACUGCCCGGGGAGGGGGGUGCGGUCUCAGCGCCCUCCACUGCGGGGUCCAAGGCGCAGUAGCGGGGCGCGACCCCAGCGCUCCAAGCCCAGCAUUCUUGGCAGCUCUCCAGGCCCCAGUCAGAGGCACAUUGACCUUGAAGUUGCACUUGACUCGCCCACUCGGGGCUGCCUGGUGGCGCCUGGGUCAGCUUGAAACCCACGCAGCUGAGGGAGCUAGGUGUGGGGUUCACCAUACUGCGCCCCCGCCGGAUUUGGGAGCGCGGGAUCUACUCGGAGGCAGAGAGAUUAGCCCCAGAGGUCAAGCCUUUCGGCGUCGUUUUGUCAUCUGUAUUUUCUCGUCCCCUUCGCCGCCGAGUCCUACAAAGCUCACUUCAGAGAGACUGGGUCCACAUGUGUGGGCUCAUGAGGAGGAGGACAGCGAGGGUGACGACGCUGGGGGACUAGCGCGAGCUGGCGCAUUCCUGGCAGUGAGCCAAGGGCCCCCCGUCUUGCUAGUCUUUCCAAGUUGCUUGGCAAUUCCAAAAAUUUCGACUGUGGGAAAGUUGAAACUUGUUCGUAUAGCGUUCUUUCGAAAAGAUUUUCCUUGUCUGUAUCUAUUUUACAGAAAACAUACUGGUCCUCACUACUGUUUGGGGACGAGUUAGCCUAAAUUUGAACAGACCUUGAAGACAAACCCUGAGCCCCGGGAGGCAGCCUUCUCAGCGCGAGGUGCACACACAAGUCCCCGAGCCCACCGCGAGGGUCUCACCUGGCUCCUGCGUGGUCUUUCCCCACUUUGGCGACUUUGAAGGCCAGGGGGACCGUACAGUGAGCGAAUAACUUAGCGCCUGCAUUAUCACUGCUGAAACCUCAGAGAACAAUGUAGGACAUGCGGGUGCAGGUAGAGCAAAACUAGUGAAAAGAGUUUAUGAGGAAUUCAUACCGCCUCGCCUACUUGGGACAACUCCUUCAUUCAGUUGUCCUCCCUAGGGGGCUGUUAUGCUUAUUUGUGUCAGACCCUUCUUUCCCCUGGAAUCUUAUCAUCACAGAAUAUUAAACAUUUGAAAAAAUUUUAAAGAUUAAACUUGUUCGAGGAAAAAAUGGUAAACACUGUUAGGGAUUGCCUGGCGUGCACAAAUUAAGGAAAGAAAGAAACUGAAAAUUUCAGCGCGGCUUUGGGAAUUUUUAGCUUUGCGAUUUAAAACCCACAGCGCCAUCUCCUGGUAAUGAGGAGAAUAUAGCGAUGGAUGACAAUACUGAAAUGCUGACUAUGAAAUACUCAAAUAUGAGAAACGCCUCAAAAAUUAUUUCAGUGAUAGGUUGAUUAUGAUUACAAAAUAUGAUCUGACAUGGACAUUUAUUAUCAUUAAAAGUUAUCAGACACAAUCCUGGAAGCUAAUUAUUUGUAAAUAGAAGUUUGUAUAUUUAUACAUACAUGUAUUUUAUAGAUUCAGACGCUUAUGCUGUGAAUUUACAAGAUAUGAUUCUAUAAUUUAUCAUAAAUACAUAAUUUUACAAAACAGUUCCCUGUUUUACUUUUUGUGAAUGAUUUUACCAUAUAUGGUAGAAAAAGAAUAAUAGGAUGUGGUGAUCUAUGGAGACAUAAAAUCUUCUAGAUCCUCAUUGUAUUUUACUAGUCAACAUUAAUAAAUACUUUAGCCCCAUUGUCUCAAUAACUUCUCACUUUAUCUAUGUCUUCUCAUCAUGCAAUCUUACAGAAUGUCUUACUGUCUUAAUGUUAAGACAUCAUGACAAAAAUGUGUUAACAUUAUUCAGACAUUCUGAUCCUGAAAUAUCAUCUGAAGUUAAAUUAUUUUCCAAAAGUUUAAUGCACAUAAUAGAAUCAUAAAUACUUAAUACUUUUCUAUUAAAAUGUUUCUGAAGUAUUCUUUCAAGCUUUUCUCCCUUUUAUAAAUAAGAUUGAAACACACUAAAAUUUAGAGAUGAUAUCCCUAUUAAAAACAUUUCUCCUCUAUGAUUGUAUACACAGGCCAGCUGCUUGAAAUAAAAAUAAAAGUAGAUAUGCUUUUUGUAGUGUACAAAAUAUUAUGAAUAUCCUUCAAAAUUGUAGAUCAAACAGACAAAUGUAAACUUCAGUUGAAAGAUUCAUUUUAUUUGAUUAAUUAAAGUGAAGAUCUAUUAAGCCAAAUA